rfam:Triticum aestivum genome assembly, contig: Triticum_aestivum_CS42_TGACv1_scaffold_433506_5DL
AACAUGCUCCCUCCGUCCGGAGAUAUUUGUCACAGAAAUGGAUAAAAAUGAAUGUAUCUAGAACUAAAAUACGUCUAGAUACAUCAAUUUCUCCGACAAGUAUUCCGGACGGAGAGAGUACAAG